CUGAUUUAACCACUAUUUGAUUCCACUAAAAAAAUAGAAUCUAAACCACAAGUGCCCUCGAAAUCCACAUGUCCGCUUGUUUUUUCCCAUAAAAAAUCACAACAGCAGCCAUCUGAGAAAUCACAUUGAAAGUCAUCAGCCUUGGCAGAGAAAUAUACAAUUUGGGGUGUGUGUUCAAGUGUGGAGAAAAGAAGAUUCAUGGGGAGAGUUGACAUCUGGCAAGGCAUCCAAUGUUGAUUAAUCAAGAAAUCCUCAGAAAAGAUUAUGUGAGUCAGCCAGAAAAUUUGAACUUUCAACCCAUAAGUUAAGUUAUCCUAAAAGCUUGUAUAGGAUUGGAUGGAUUGAUUCGUUGGUAAAUCAAGCUACUUGUUUCUGAUUUUCCACAAACAGUUAAAAAUGUCUGAGACGAGAUUUGACAUUGUCACCGUUGACAUUGAUGAUAUGAUGCUUAAGAGCUUGUCCUCGACGCCUUCAAAACCCUCAAUAUUUAGAGUUGGUGAUCAUUUACGCAGCAUAAAUCCAGAGGCUUACGAUCCAGAAAUAAUAGCCAUUGGCCCAUAUCACCGCGGGAAACGUAACUUGCAGAAGAUGGAGCAACACAAAGUCAGAUAUCUAAAGCUGUUUCUUGAAAGAAGAAAUGAGUCAAGUGUAGAAAGAUAUGUUACCACAAUAAGACACUUAGAAGACAUGGCGCGGAAAUGUUAUGCUGAAGACAUCCAACUUGAUGAAGAUGAGUUUGUGCAAAUGUUGAUUCUUGAUGGCUGUUUUAUCAUCGAAUUUCUCCAUAAGUUUCAACAAAUAGAAUGUAGGGAUGAAGAUGACCCCAUUUUCCAGUAUGGAUAUAUGCAAAGUCAUUUGCUUCAUGAUCUAAUGGUAUUUGAGAAUCAGAUUCCAUUUUUCAUCAUUGAUCGUUUGUUCAACAUAAUCAAGAUCAACGAUGAAGACAACAUCAAUUCUCUAAUACUGCCUUUACUAGGAAAUGGCAUUUUCCCAGUGCAAGAUCUUCCUGAAGUCCCUAUUAAUGGUCACCAUCUUCUUGGUAUUGUACAUGACAUCCAGUGUUCAUCAUUUGCAUCAAUAUUAUCUCAUAUGGAUUCUGGAGAUCCUGAUAACGUGGCGAAUAUAAAUUCAGCUGUAGAGAUCAAAGAAGCAGGGAUUUCCUUCAAAAAGUCGGAAUGUAAUAGUUUGUUUCACAUUGAAUUCAAAAAUAAAACAACGAUCAUUCCAGAAUGGGAAAUUUCUGAUUCAACAGAAUCGUUGUUCCGAAAUCUGAUGGCAUAUGAGUACUACCUCCCAGGCAGUCCUCAAAAAUAUGUGACGGACUAUGUAUUCUUUAUGCAUUGUCUCGUCCAUUCCCCAGAUGAUGCAAAAUUGUUGCGCUGUUAUGGAAUCAUUAGCAACUUUUUGGGGAGCGAUAAAAUGGUUUAUCUUCUAAUCAACCAGCUAGGGAAGAAUAUCAUAAUAUCUGAUAAGUUUUCGUAUUCUAAUAUUUUCAACGUUGUGAACCAUCAUUGUCGCCGCAUAUGGAAUAUAAGGAUGGCAACAUUGAGGCGAAGAUAUCUUAACAGUCCAUGGGCACUCAUUUCAGUCUUUGCUGCCACUUUCUUGCUUACGCUUGCCAUUCUACAGACUACUUUUCCUAUUCUCUCAUACCGUAAGUUACUCCCCAAGUAUUGCAUAUUUUAACCUUUGUUUGGAAAAUGUAUAAAUGGUUUACAAAUAGGAAUAUUAACGGGUCCCACAAAAUAUAUGGGUGAUAAU
rnacentral:lncRNA from 1 species